AGUGAACGCUGGCGGUAGGCCUAACACAUGCAAGUCGAACGGCAGCACAGUAGGAGCUUGCUCUUACGGGUGGCGAGUGGCGGACGGGUGAGGAAUACAUCGGAAUCUACUUUUUCGUGGGGGAUAACGUAGGGAAACUUACGCUAAUACCGCAUACGACCUACGGGUGAAAGCAGGGGAUCUUCGGACCUUGCGCGAUUGAAUGAGCCGAUGUCGGAUUAGCUAGUUGGCGGGGUAAAGGCCCACCAAGGCGACGAUCCGUUGCUGGUCUGAGAGGAUGAUCCGGCCCACUGGAAAUGAGAAACGGGCCAGACUCCUAACGGAGGCAGCCGUGGGGAAUAUUGGACAAUGGGCGCAAGCCUGAUCCAGCCAUACCGCGUGGGUGAAGAAGGCCUUCGGGUUGUAAAGCCCUUUUGUUGGGAAAGAAAAGCAGCAGGUUAAUACCCCGCUGUUCUGACGGUACCCAAAGAAUAAGCACCGGCUAACUUCGUG
rnacentral:rRNA from 1 species